rnacentral:rRNA from 1 species
UUAAAUUGAAGAGUUUGAUCAUGGCUCAGAUUGAACGCUGGCGGCAGGCCUAACACAUGCAAGUCGAACGGUAACAGGAAGCAGCUUGCUGCUUCGCUGACGAGUGGCGGACGGGUGAGUAAUGUCUGGGAAACUGCCUGAUGGAGGGGGAUAACUACUGGAAACGGUGGCUAAUACCGCAUAACGUCGCAAGACCAAAGAGGGGGACCUUCGGGCCUCUUGCCAUCAGAUGUGCCCAGAUGGGAUUAGCUAGUUGGUGAGGUAACGGCUCACCAAGGCGACGAUCCCUAGCUGGUCUGAGAGGAUGACCAGCCACACUGGAACUGAGACACGGUCCAGACUCCUACGGGAGGCAGCAGUGGGGAAUAUUGCACAAUGGGCGCAAGCCUGAUGCAGCCAUGCCGCGUGUAUGAAGAAGGCCUUCGGGUUGUAAAGUACUUUCAGCGGGGAGGAAGGUGUUGUGGUUAAUAACCGCAGCAAUUGACGUUACCCGCAGAAGAAGCACCGGCUAACUCCGUGCCAGCAGCCGCGGUAAUACGGAGGGUGCAAGCGUUAAUCGGAAUUACUGGGCGUAAAGCGCACGCAGGCGGUCUGUCAAGUCGGAUGUGAAAUCCCCGGGCUCAACCUGGGAACUGCAUUCGAAACUGGCAGGCUUGAGUCUUGUAGAGGGGGGUAGAAUUCCAGGUGUAGCGGUGAAAUGCGUAGAGAUCUGGAGGAAUACCGGUGGCGAAGGCGGCCCCCUGGACAAAGACUGACGCUCAGGUGCGAAAGCGUGGGGAGCAAACAGGAUUAGAUACCCUGGUAGUCCACGCCGUAAACGAUGUCUACUUGGAGGUUGUGCCCUUGAGGCGUGGCUUCCGGAGCUAACGCGUUAAGUAGACCGCCUGGGGAGUACGGCCGCAAGGUUAAAACUCAAAUGAAUUGACGGGGGCCCGCACAAGCGGUGGAGCAUGUGGUUUAAUUCGAUGCAACGCGAAGAACCUUACCUGGUCUUGACAUCCACAGAACUUUCCAGAGAUGGAUUGGUGCCUUCGGGAACUGUGAGACAGGUGCUGCAUGGCUGUCGUCAGCUCGUGUUGUGAAAUGUUGGGUUAAGUCCCGCAACGAGCGCAACCCUUAUCCUUUGUUGCCAGCGUUAGGCGGGAACUCAAAGGAGACUGCCAGUGAUAAACUGGAGGAAGGUGGGGAUGACGUCAAGUCAUCAUGGCCCUUACGACCAGGGCUACACACGUGCUACAAUGGCGCAUACAAAGAGAAGCGACCUCGCGAGAGCAAGCGGACCUCAUAAAGUGCGUCGUAGUCCGGAUUGGAGUCUGCAACUCGACUCCAUGAAGUCGGAAUCGCUAGUAAUCGUGGAUCAGAAUGCCACGGUGAAUACGUUCCCGGGCCUUGUACACACCGCCCGUCACACCAUGGGAGUGGGUUGCAAAAGAAGUAGGUAGCUUAACCUUCGGGAGGGCGCUUACCACUUUGUGAUUCAUGACUGGGGUGAAGUCGUAACAAGGUAACCGUAGGGGAACCUGCGGUUGGAUCACCUCCUUACCUAAAGAA